rnacentral:rRNA from 1 species
GACGAAGGGGGCUAGCGUUGUUCGGAAUUACUGGGCGUAAAGCGAGUGUAGGUGGUUGUCCAAGUUGGAUGUGAAAGCCUUGAGCUCAACUCAAGAAAUGCAUUCAGGACUGGGCGGCUAGAGGACCGGAGAGGAUAGUGGAAUUCCCAGUGUAGUGGUGAAAUACGUAGAGAUUGGGAAGAACACCAGUGGCGAAGGCGGCUAUCUGGACGGUUUCUGACGCUAAGACUCGAAAGCGUGGGGAGCAAACAGG